AUACCGCAUAUCCCGCAAGGGAAAAGGGCAUAACUGCCCACCGAUGGAGGAGCCUGCGUAUCAUCAGUUUGUUGGUGGGGUAAUGGCCUACCAAGACUACGACGGUUAGGGGGCGUGAGAGCGCGUACCCCCAGAAUGGGACUGAGACACGGCCCAUACACCUACGGGUGGCAGCAACCGGGAAUUGUGCGCAAUGGACGAAAGUCUGACGCCGUGACGCCGCGUGAAGGAUGAAGGCCUUCGGGUUGUAAACUUCUUUUGCCAUGUUAGAGAUACCAUGGAGAAUAAGCACCGGCUAACUUCGUGCCAGCAGCAGCGGUAAUACGAAGGGUGUAAGCGUUGCCCGGAUUUAUUGGGCGUAAAGUGUUUCGUAGGCGCCUCGUCGCAUCUUGUUUUAAAGCUUCUGGCUCAACCAGAAAAAAGGACAAGAGAUGGAUGAGGUUGAAGAAUGUUGGGGUUACUGGAACUGUCGGUGUAGGGGUGAAAUCCGUUGAUAUCGACAGGAACUCCGAAGGCGAAGGCGAGUAACUAAGCAUUUCUUGACGCUGAGGAACGAAAGCUAGGGGAGCGAAAGGGAUUAGAGACCCCUGUAGUCCUAGCCGUAAACUAUGUCCGCUAGCUUGUCGCGUCUGACGCGACGGGCGUAAGCUAACGCGUGAAGCGGACCGCCUGGGGAGUACGAACGCAAGUUUAAAACUCAAAGGAAUUGACGGGGACCUGCACAACCAGUGGAUUAUGUGGUUUAAUUCGAGACAAACCGAAGGACCUUACCUGGAUUUGACAUGCUAUCGUUUUAGGUCUGUAGAAAUACGGACUGAUCUUAAAUUUAUUUGAGAUGGUAGCACAGGUGCUGCAUGGCCGUCGCCAGCUCGUGCCGUGGGGUGUUCCCUUAAGUGGGGUAACGAGCGCAACCCCUGUCCUAUGUUGAAUAAUCAUAGGAGACUUUCUGG
rnacentral:rRNA from 1 species